rnacentral:antisense_RNA from 1 species
GACCUGGGUAGGGGGUCCGGGUUCAGUGGUAAUAGCGGCGGAGAUGGGGGAGCGCCCGCUUGACACUUCCCGAUCCGGGCCGAGGCGACUGGAAGAAGCCGUAGUACGCAGGAGCAAGGGCCGAGAGGCGAGCGCCGAACGCUAUCAGGAGUGGCUAGCCGAUUGUCGAGCUCGGGAAACUGCGUGUUUACGUAGGGUAAGAAGAACGCUAUCCCGGAGGCUUCCUACUUGGCCGUGGUAACUAAGUCUUUUCUGCGUGCCCCUGCGGGCGUAGGGCUGGGGCUGGCCCGCGUCAGUGUGUUUGAAAAGGUAAAGGCUUGUAGUUUUGUAGUUUAUUUUGCGCCGUGGCGGCUGCUGUGUGUAAGCAGCAGCCUACCUAUGAGGUUUUCAUCGUCCUGGGCUUCCACUUGAGAGAACUCCAGCACCGCGGGUGAAGAAGCCGCACCUGCGGCCUCCGUGACUGCCCUUGAGCUGCUCUUCCUUACUCCGGAUGGAAAUCUAGUCAGACUGCGUCUGAACGUUGCAAAUGAAAUGAGGAACCUUGUAACAAAAACAAGUCGCGGCCGGGCGCGGUGGCUCACGCCUGUAAUCCCAGCACUUUGGGAGGCCGAGCCAGGCGGAUCACCUGAGGUCGGAGUUCGAGACCAGCCUGACCAACAAGGAGAAACCCCGUCUCUACUAAACAUACAAAAUUAGCCGGGCGCGGUGGCUCAUGCCUGUAAUGUAAUCCCAGCUACUCGGGAAGCUGAGGCAGGAGAAUCGCUUGAACCUGGGAGGCGGAGGUUGCGGUGAGCCGAGAUCGCGCCAUUGCACUCCAGCCUGGGCAACAAGAGCGGAAACUCCGUCUCAAAAACAACAACAACAACAACAACAACAAAAACCAAGUCGCAUCUUUCAGAUCCUAAAGCACCACGUCGUCGGAAAACAUUCAAAUGGUUGCCCGUUUGCUUGUGUGAAUUUUUCUUUUCCUUAAACUAUCAGGAGAAUCUCUAUUCUCCUGCAUUUAAUUAAUGCUGGGAUCACUUCAGCCACUUUAACCAGAAAUCGGCGAUAUCUAGACACCGCUUCUCUGGGGACACUUUGACAACGUGACAAAAGACAUUGCCAGUCUAAUGAUGGGGGUGGGGUGGAGGAGACGAAAGUUCAGAUUCAGAUUUGCAUACUGAAAUCCUUAAUUGCACACAACUCGGCCCGCUUUAUUAGAGUUCGGGCGGAAGUGCGACACCGAGUCCUCCAAGGCUAACUGGAGGGUUAAAUUAUACGGUUACUAAUCCGCCGUGCUUGUCAAGGGCCUAAAGGGACUCUGCCCCUUUCUGCUGCAGUGCCAUCUGCUGGCUGCAGCCUGCUUGGUUACCCAGAGGGAAAACUGCCAAAGCAUCCUCUGGAAGCUGGCCUGGAAAGACAAGCCAAAGUCUAGUGCAGGACAGAUGCCUUGAGGAAAUAUACAUAUAUGCAGAAAGAAAAAAAAAAAAAAAGACGGCGUAUAUACGGGACAAAACCUAGGACAAGGCCAGGCAGCCACUCAGAUUAUAUAUAUGUUUGCACAUUCACACACAGACAAAUUCCCCUGCCCAAAAGAACUGUUCAGGACCACUCAAAAACAAAACAGAACAAAAGCUCUAUUGUUUAGGCCUUCGAAUCCUUCAUCAACCAUUGUCUAAAACAGCAGCAGCUGGCCGGGCGCGGCUCCCGCCUGUAAUCCCAGCACUUUGGGAGGCCGAGGCAGGCGGAUUACCUGAGGUCAGGAGUUCAAGACCACCCUGACCACAUGGUGAAACCCCGUCUCUACUUAAAAAAAAAAAGAAAGAAAGAAAAAAAGAAAUACAGAAAUUAGCCUGGCAUGGUGGCGUGCGCCUGUAAUCCCAGCUACUCGGAAGGCAGAGGCAGGAGAAUAGCUUGAACCCGGGAGGGAGAGGUUGCAGUGAGCCGAGACAGCACCACUGCCCUCCAGCCUGGGCGACAGAGCGAGACGCCAUUUCAAAUAAUAAUAAUAACUGCCCCUCUUUGGCCGGGCGCGGUUGCUCACGCCUGUAAUUCCAGCACUUUGGGAGGCCGAGGUGGGCGGAUCACCUGAGGUCGGGAGUUCGAGACCAGCCUGACCAACAUGGAGAAACCCCGUCUCUACUAAAAAUACAAAAGUAGCCGGGCAUGGUGGCACAUGCCUGUAAUCCCAGCUACUUGGGAGGCUGAGGCAGGAGAAUCGCUUGAACUGGGGAGGCAGAGGUUGCGGUGAGCUGAGAUACUGCCAUAGCACGCUAGCCUGGGCAACAGAGUGAAACUCUGUCUCAAAAAAAACAAAGAAAAGAAAAAAAAUUGCCCCUCUUGUAAUCCUACAGCCAUCACCUUAGUAAUUUUGCUAUAUUGGUAGUCUUUAAGUAUCAAUUAUGUCCUCACAACAAUGAAAACUUACAUUUUUAUAACAUUUUGACAUUUUCAAAACAAACACACCUUGUCAUAUGAUCUUAUUUAACCCUCACAACUGCCUGAUUACCCCUGUUUUAGAAAUAAACCAAGGUUUAGGGUAAGGACUGCCAAGUAUUACACUGGCACAAUAAUUCCAGCCUUCUGAAAUCAGGACUAGAAAAUUUUCCUCCAUACCACACUGGUGUUUCCUUGGACAGCUACCACUACCUACUGAAUAAUGCCUAAGUCCUUAGCCUGCUACUCAAGGCCUUCCAAUAGUAUUUUCCACUGUUCCCUAUAUGGGCUUUAAGCUUUGUCUAUAAAGACUAUGUUCUUCAGUUAC